UUUUUUUUGUUAAUCUCAAUAUUCAACAUCAGAUGUUGCUAUACUGCUAUACGAAAAGUGCUCUAACUUAAAGGAGUGCAACUACAAAAAUAGGAUUUAUGGUGAUCCCUGAUGUUGAGGGAAUUUUCUCAAUUUUAAUACCACAUGUAUAUACAUAUUUAUUUAUACAAAUAUAUAACAUUCAGUGUCCCUAAUUAACUGUGCAAGGAAUACAAUGUAUUUAAGGUCAUGGCUGUGCUAUCAUAAACAGUUGAAGUACAAUUAUGAUACAAAGAAUUCAACAAACAAGUUUUAUACUCUGAGCACUGAGUUAUAUGACUAAAUGCCUAGGUCUGUAAUCAGAUUUUGAAUUUUAUGUAGAGUGCAUUUAAAAAUUGCAUUGAAAAUUAUUGUCUGCAUAAGAUUUCACUUUUUAUCAAUUUGUGUGCAUGCUAAGACUAACAGAAUAUCACCUGACCACAGAUGCAAAUGAUAGGGUGUGUUGCAUCUAGUGUCAAGCCCCCCUUAUAAAUGCUAGAAAAAUAAUAUAGAUAUUUAUUGACCUAAAACACUUUAAAUUAUUUUUAUUGAAAUUGCUCCCCCUGUAACUUUAAAUAAAUUUUGGGUUUGUAGCUGGUUGUCGUUACUUAAUUGAUAAAUGAUCUUGAUAAGAUUGAUCUCAACAAAAAUCGGUCUGGGUUGGUUGCACAAAGAUUGAAUAAAUGUUAAAUUCAUUUAAAUUUGUAGUCUUAAUUAUUACAACUUAUCAAUAAAUGUUUUUCUUCUUCAAUUUUGGGAAAAUUUAUAUAAUAGUGAUAAAACUUUAAAGUUACUAUGAUUAGUGAAAUACAAUUUUGUUUUAAAAAUUGCAUUAACAUUAAUUAAAUAUUUAAGGAUGUACUUAGGUGAGGUUUUUUAAAAUUUGUGUCAGAUAUUUGGACUGCUUGUUUUUACCCCCUAUAAUACAGAGUAAAAUAUUUUGCCCAAAAACACCCAUUUUUCUUUGCAUAUAAGACUUCAAUAGCUCAUAUAUAAUUAAAGGUCAUUAACCAAAUUUUUUAGCAGAUUCUAGAUUUCUUUCUUUCAAUUUGAUACCAAAAUGAUACAUUAUGCAAAUAUAAGGCAAAAGGCAUAGUCGUGAUCAUGAUAGUCAGAAUUUACUGCUAUUAAAAAAAAAUUCUCCCAUUCAAAUGCAUUGAUCGUCCAAAAAAAGGGGGGUUCCAACUAUAUGCUCCCAUUCAAAUGCAUUGAUCGUCCAAAAAAAGGGGGUUCCAACCCCUGGAAACCUCCCCCCCCCUGGAUCCGCCACUGCUUAAGCUAAUAGUAUCAAUUUUAAAUUUAUUUUCUUUUAAUUUCACCUAAAUUCAUCAUUAGGCUACAAAUAAGUUUAUUUAUCUGUCAACAUGUAUCAAUUAAAAGGAUAGACAUAGGCUAUAUGUAGUCACAAUUGAAAUUAAGGGUCUGGUUGAGGUUUACAAAAUAGAGAAUAACGGAACAAAUUAUAUAAAACAGGAAAAAGAGGUGCUAAAAUAUGAAGAAAAGAGAAAAAAACCUGGAAAAUUAAAAAUACACAAAAAAUGAAGACCCCCUCAUCCUGACCUUUAUUAAAUGACUUUGUAUUUUAUUAAAAAAAACUUUCAUGUUGUAGUUAUGUAGUUAUUGUUGCUACUGUUGUUUUUGUUUAGAGCUUGAGAUAAUAAAUAUUACACAA
rnacentral:lncRNA from 1 species